UAGAUACCCUAUUAUUUUAGAUCUAAAAGUUUUUAAACUUGAGUAGUAUUAGGUAUGAUCUUGAAACUUAAAGAAUUUGGCGGUAUCUUAGUCUGGUUAGAGGAAUCUGUUCCGUUAUCGAUAGUCCACGUUGAACCUUACUUAAUAUAAUUUAAUAUGUAUACCGCCGUUUCUUUGAAGAUCUUUUUAGGGAUUAAAUUUUCUUUAAAUUUUAAUUAAUUUUAAUUCAGGUCAAGGUGCAGUUGAUAAUUGAGUGGUAAUGGAUUACAUUAUUUAUAAAGUAGACGAAUUGGGAUUUGAAAUUAUUUUAUGAAGGGGGAUUUAAAAGUAAUUAAUAAUAAGAAUUAUUUUUGUGAUUUUAGCUCUAAGAUGUGUACACAUCGCCCGUCACUCUCGUUAUUAAGAUGAGAUAAGUC
rnacentral:rRNA from 1 species